rnacentral:rRNA from 1 species
AUGCACAAAUUUAACUGUGGUAUGCACACUCAUUUUGGUGUCACACAACUGGAGUUAUAUCAUCGCUCUUUCUUUUCCCAUGUCAUGCCCACUAAUUUAUACUAUUGUAACCUACCUCAAAUUCUGUACGAAGAUGAUGAUCACAAUAAAGUCAUGCUCUCAUCGGAUUCCGACCAUAUAGCGACUGUGUACCAUGCAAAGCAAAUCGCUUGGAAGGUAAUAAGAGGCAAAUUCAACCUUCACUCUACAAAAUCUGCAACACAUCAUAUUAAUUGGAAACUCAAAUCUUGA